CAGUAUCAUCAGUGCAAGAUAUUGGAACAUGACUUCUUAAGGGGUAGGACUUGGAAUGCAGCAGAGCAAAGAAACCAUCACGGACUGGUUGAAAAAGGAUAAAAGGAACCAAAGAGCCCUUCCCAAUGCAAGACAUGCAGUGUAAACCCUUCUUAAAUCAAAAGAGAAAAGCAAAGUGGAUAUGUAGUGGGUAAAGUGUGCUGCAUUCAAGUGUCAAGGAUAACAGGGAUUUAUAAACAGCAAGCAAGAUUGUAAUUAGAAAAAAAAGCCCUGGUGCUGUCACAUAUUAGAGAAUCCAGCAGUGCACGCAGAAGAGGACUCCCAGGAAAUAUAAACACAGAGGCAGAAUUGUUCUAACCGGAAAGCACAACAUUGGCAGUGGGGACAGAACAGUGAGCUGCAGGGAAGAGCCACGAGGGAGAAGGGGACGCCGGCAUUACUCCUAUCUCGGAUCCAACUGGGCAACCUGCAAAAAGGCUUACAUAUGAGUGCAUUUACAAAUGAAAAGUAAUGUGAGUGUAAUAUUUAAUAUUUUUAAAAAGUUUUAUCAAACAAAUUACACUAUAGAGGUCUUAUAUGUGGGAGCAUAUGGAGUGACGGAGGAGGAAGGAAGCUGAAACAAUAUUACGUGCAAAUUUAAAACUACUUUCUUGUAAGUAGGCAUUUUGGCUAACCCUGGCGGAAGUAUCUAAAGCAGGGGUCCCCAACC